UAGAUGGAGCUUGCUCUAUGUACCUUAGCAGCGAACGGGUGAGUAACACGUAGAUAAUCUGUCCUAUAUUGGGGGAUAGCCCGAUGAAAGUUGGAUUAAUACCGCAUACAGCUAUAUAGUUGCAUGAUUAUAUAGUGAAAGAUUUAUUGAUAUAGGAGGAGUCUGCGGCACAUUAGCUAGUAGGUGAGGUAAGAGCUUACCUAGGCGACGAUGUGUAGCCGGUCUGAGAGGAUGAACGGCCACAAUGGAACUGAGACACGGUCCAUACUCCUACGGGAGGCAGCAGUGGGGAAUAUUGCACAAUGGGGGAAACCCUGAUGCAGCAACGCCGCGUGAGUGAAGAAGGUUUUCGGAUUGUAAAGCUCUGUUAGCAGGGAAGAGGAAGGACGGUACCUGCAGAGGAAGCCACGGCUAACUACGUGCCAGCAGCCGCGGUAAUACGUAGGUGGCAAGCGUUGUUCGGAAUAACUGGGCGUAAAGGAUGCGUAGGCGGUUAAAUAAGUUAUAUGUUAAAUAUAUAGGCUUAACCUGUAGAAAGCAUAUAAAACUGUUUAACUAGAGUGCAGGAGAGGUAAGUGGAAUUCCUAGUGUAGCGGUGAAAUGCGUAGAGAUUAGGAAGAACACCAGUGGCGAAGGCGACUUACUGGACUGUAACUGACGCUAAGGCAUGAGAGCAUGGGGAGCAAA
rnacentral:rRNA from 1 species